rnacentral:rRNA from 1 species
CGAACGGGUGAGUAAUACAUAAGUAACCUGCCCUAGACAGGGGGAUAACUAUUGGAAACGAUAGCUAAGACCGCAUAGGUACGGACACUGCAUGGUGACCGUAUUAAAAGUGCCUCAAAGCACUGGUAGAGGAUGGACUUAUGGCGCAUUAGCUGGUUGGCGGGGUAACGGCCCACCAAGGCGACGAUGCGUAGCCGACCUGAGAGGGUGACCGGCCACACUGGGACUGAGACACGGCCAGACUCCUACGGGAGGCAGCAUG